rnacentral:rRNA from 1 species
AUACGUAUGUCGCAAGCGUUAUCCGGAAUUAUUGGGCGUAAAGCGAGUCUAGGCGGCUUGUUAAGUCAGAUGAGAAAAUGCGGGGCUCAACUCCGUAUUGCGUUUGAAACUGGCAGGCUAGAGUACUGGAGAGGUGGGCGGAACUACAAGUGUAGAGGUGAAAUUCGUAGAUAUUUGUAGGAAUGCCGAUAGUGAAGACAGCUCACUGGACAGAUACUGACGCUAAAGCUCGAAAGCGUGGGGAGCGAACAGGAUUAGAAACCCCGGUAGUCC